GUAUAGAGUAUGAUGGUUCCGGGACACUUUGAAGCCUAAAAAAGUGUUUAUCUAUCAAACCAAAGGGUAAGACAGCUCGACAUAGCUUACCCAUCAACCCAAAAAGUAAGACAGCUCGACAUAAAACCCCAUUUUAUUGAUUUAAGAACACCCUCAGGCCAAAAUCCCCCCGGAACCAUCAUACUCUAUACUACUCAUAAAUAGAAUACUAUAAGGCAGGCGGGAACCGACGAGUCCUUUUUUAUAAUUAAAAUAUAUAUAAAUGAGUUUACAAAAACAAAUAUAUUGUUUAAAAGAACGAACAUACACCGAUAAUGUAAAUCCUCAAUAUGUUACAACAAAAAACGGAAGAUUAAUGAUAAAAGCCGCGUGUGCUUCAUGCGGUAAAUUGAAAUCUAAGUUUGUAAAACAAGGCGGCUAAUCAUGAGUAAAAAAAAUGUUUAUCCGGAACCAACUUUUAAAUAGUUGCAGCCUAUAAAUCAAUAUGUCGUUCCGUAUCACGUGUACAGUUUUCCGCUAAAGAUCAAUAGUGAAACGUCAUCCAGAACAUUCGCCUAGUGUGCAGCUCAAUAGAUGUUAAAUGCGUUGUUAUUAUUUCAUCAGCCAGGAAUACAGAGUGGUUAGACAGAAUGGCUGAACAAUUUGAGAUAGAGAUGUUUAAAUAUAUAAAAUCCCUGGAAGAUUUUCUUUCUCGUAAAACGGAGAACGGAGAAGUAAUUACGCACGAUGAAUGCAGUAAAAUGUGUACUUAUAAAAACACAAUUGAGUACAUUUCUAACAUUCAUAAUUUUAUGAAAGAUCAUGCUCAACAACAAGUUACAGAAGAUCAAAUGGCUUCGUUGAAUAAUAAACAAAAAGACUUAAUAAGAACAGAUGAAAUAAAAAAGAUUAACGAUUUGGGAUUGAAAUCGUUGCAGCAGGUUCCAGAUGUGCAACAAAACCUACGUCAACAAAGUAAUAAAACAAAAGCAAAAAAAACAUACAAUCAAGUGAAAAAUGAGGUACAAAAAUCAUAUUCAAAAGAUCGGAACUUGGCUGGAGAGGUUACGUUGGAGCUUGAAAACACCGACAGCUGUUUUAAAACUUUAAAAACACUAGACAGACAUACGCAGAGUGCUGGAAGAACAAAGUUGUUUUAUAAUAUUCAAAAAGGAGAGGUUUUAAAAAAAAUCAAGGAUUUUGAAAAAGGAGGUUUUUUAAACAAAAUAAUAGAAAAUGACAUGCCAUACAAAAUUUCACACUGUAACUUUUUGAUUAAAUUGUACAAGUUUUCACUCAAUCAUUAUGAUAUAAUUCAUUGUUCAUUGUCAUUGCAUUUUCUACAAAAGCAUUGGAGUGUUAUUCCACGGAUAUUUGAUGAAUUGAAAUGGUAAUAAAUUAAUAUUGAAUAUCCGUGGAAUAAGAGUUGCAAAACGACGAGUGUCGGCAGAUUGAUUUUUCCAUUCGCUGUGUUGAAUAUUGGAAAACUUGUAAGGGGACCGACGAGCCUAAAAGGCUCUUGUAAGGGAAGGUUCUUGUAUUGGAAAACUUUUGUAGAGGCUCAAAACGACGAGUGUCGGCAGGCUGAUUUUACCAUUCGCUGUGUUGGAGGCUUGGAAAACUUUUGUAGAGUCGCAAACCGACGGGUGUCGGCAGACUAUUUUUAAACAUUAGUGAAAUAGUUUAUUAUUGUUUGUUCAUUUUCUUUUUGAUUAUUGAUGUUUAAAUGUUUGUAUAAUAUAUCAUAUAAAGACACUUUCUGUUGUAAUAAAUAUAUGAAAUAUAAACAAUAAUAACCACACAGCACACUUGUUUUAUCUUGAUACUGUAUAUUGUUAUAAUUCAAACCUGGAAUGUAACUGAUUACCUCUUUUGGUGGAGGAAGUCCGAAAGGGUCGAAGUAAUUAUUUCUGUAAUAACACACCCAAUGUGUACCCGGUCCAAUAAAGUCAUCUAAAUUUAUUAUCCCGCAUUCUUUACUAUUAGAAGGUAAAUUAUUUCUACUGAAGACGCCUUGAAA